GGCAUGUUCAUGCAUAGAUAGUUUUAAACAAAAUGAUUAUGUUUUCUUUAGAUGGAAACACAAGGUCAUUGUCGCUUAAUAAAAAUUCAGUCCUCGUCAGACACCUGAUUAUUUGAUCCAUUCUGAAAUGUUCCAGAUUCCAGAGGUUUGAAUAAACAGACUGAAACCUCCGUGGGCUGCUCUGAGAAAAGGAACUUAUUCCUCCUUUUCACUUGCAAGAAAUAUUACAGCAAAGCUAUUGCAUUUUGCAAAAUAUUUAAAUAACAUUUUUGAACUACUAAUGAUAUGCAGAAUAUUUACAUUUUUAUUUGAUGAAGCCAGUUUGUG